GGCACUGUAGCUCAGUGGUUAGGGCGCUGGCCCUGCAGACCAGGGGUGGUGAGUUUGAACCUCACCUGGGCCU
rnacentral:tRNA from 1 species